CAGGAUCCAUUCACGUACAUAUCGCUUUCUGAUUGCAAGCAAUUCCUCCUGAAAUGAAAAUAUUGUACUUGUUAUAUCAACCAAAUCAUCAAAAAAUAAUGAAAAUAUUGUACUUGUCAUAUUCUCCCAAUCAAAAAAUAAUGAAAAGAUUGUUAUUACUAACCAAAAAAAUGCAACUAAAUAAAAGACCAAAACUUUAACUUACCUUUGGGAUUCCGGAAGCCAUUGCAACUAUACAAAAAAUGAAAACACGAAAGAGACCAAAAAAUAAUGGUGGCUUAGGGUUCACAAAACACAAAAUGAAUAAAUAACGCCAAAGAGAACAAUGCGAGAAGGGGACGAAAUGAUACAGAAAGAGAACCCACACAAUGCGAGAAGGGGACAAAAUGAAAAAACACACACAACACCAAAGCCAUCCAAAAAGCUGAUGGAGGAAAUAGAGCUUACCUUGCGAAAGAUAGCCUUUUCUGGGUUGAGAUGAGACGAACGGUGCAACGGAGAAACCAAAGGAUUGGAGAGAUGAAGCAACCGGGAAUGGAAAGAGUAAUGGGAGACAAGAAGCUUCAGAAACAAAGUGAAAGAGAAAAAAAAGGAACCGCCAAACGAAAUUUCAUAUCUUCAGAAUUUCUAUUCUACCCUCGUCAGUUUUUAAAAAACCCAUUUCCAUUUAAAAGAAAAAAGCCAAUAGAAAUUUGACAUUUGGCCGAUAUCAAAUUUGUAUUAAAUAAAGGUGUUAAAGAAACAUUUUCUAAUUUUAUCAACCAGACUUGAGGUGAGUAGUUAUCAUAAAUUAUGAUUGAUAAAGACAAUAU
rnacentral:lncRNA from 1 species